rnacentral:rRNA from 1 species
UACGUAGGGUCCGGGCGUUGUCCGGAAUUACUGGGCGUAAAGAGCUCGUAGGUGGUUUGUCGCGUUGUUCGUGAAAACUCACAGCUCAACUGUGGGCGUGCGGGCGAUACGGGCAGACUUGAGUACUGCAGGGGAGACUGGAAUUCCUGGUGUAGCGGUGGAAUGCGCAGAUAUCAGGAGGAACACCGGUGGCGAAGGCGGGUCUCUGGGCAGCAACUGACGCUGAGGAGCGAAAGCGUGGGGAGCGAACAGG